UUGUACUCAGGGAAUCCUGUAGCAUCACCUUCCGAAAAAGAGCAUGGUCUGGGACAUACCUCCUCAUAGGAAGGAAAGUACUUAUUACUGGUUUAUGAGGAGCAGCAAGCAAUCCCAAUACUCCAGCUGAAAAAGGAAGAAGUCUGUCAUGGCCUCUGCAGCACAACCAGUAUUUCAAGACUCAACCCGUUGAUAGACAUGAGAAAAGGCUGGAAUAAUAUGGCACCACUCCUGCAUGCAUUUUCAGUAGUUGACAACAAUGAAUGUCAUAUGAGCAUUUAAAUGAA